rnacentral:misc_RNA from 1 species
GGAUGUUGGCCAUCAGGCCUACCCACAUAAGAUUUUAACCGGCAGGAGAUCAAGAAUGCAUACGAUUCGCCAAACUUUUGGGCUUGCAGGGUUCCCCAAGAGAAAUGAAAGUGAAUAUGAUGCCUUUGGAGCUGGACAUAGUUCUACUAGCAUUUCAGCAGGCCUAGGAAUGGCAGUUGGUAGAGACUUGCUAGGGAAGAACAAUCAUGUAAUUUCGAUUAUCGGCGACGGUGCCAUGACUGCAGGAAUGGCUUUCGAGGCCAUGAACAAUGCAGGAUAUCUUGAU